rnacentral:rRNA from 1 species
ACUAUCGUUAACUGAAUACAUAGGUUAACGAGGCGAACCGGGGGAACUGAAACAUCUAAGUACCCCGAGGAAAAGAAAUCAACCGAGAUUCCCCCAGUAGCGGCGAGCGAACGGGGAGCAGCCCAGAGUCUGAAUCAGCUUGUGUGUUAGUGGAACGGUCUGGAAAGUCCGACGGUACAGGGUGAUAGUCCCGUACACCAAAAUGCACAGGCUGUGAACUCGAAGAGUAGGGCGGGACACGUGGUAUCCUGUCUGAAUAUGGGGGGACCAUCCUCCAAGGCUAAAUACUCCUGACUGACCGAUAGUGAACCAGUACCGUGAGGGAAAGGCGAAAAGAACCCCGGCGAGGGGAGUGAAAAAGAACCUGAAACCGUGUACGUACAAGCAGUGGGAGCACCUUCGGGUGUGACUGCGUACCUUUUGUAUAAUGGGUCAGCGACUUAUAUUCUGUAGCAAGGUUAACCGUAUAGGGGAGCCGCAGGGAAACCGAGUCUUAACUGGGCGUUAAGUUGCAGGGUAUAGACCCGAAACCCGGUGAUCUAGCCAUGGGCAGGUUGAAGGUUGGGUAACACUAACUGGAGGACCGAACCGACUAAUGUUGAAAAAUUAGCGGAUGACUUGUGGCUGGGGGUGAAAGGCCAAUCAAACCGGGAGAUAGCUGGUUCUCCCCGAAAGCUAUUUAGGUAGCGCCUCGUGAAUUCAUCUUCGGGGGUAGAGCACUGUUUCGGCUAGGGGGUCAUCCCGACUUACCAACCCGAUGCAAACUACGAAUACCGAAGAAUGUUAUCACGGGAGACACACGGCGGGUGCUAACGUCCGUCGUGAAGAGGGAAACAACCCAGACCGCCAGCUAAGGUCCCAAAGUCAUGGUUAAGUGGGAAACGAUGUGGGAAGGCACAGACAGCCAGGAUGUUGGCUUAGAAGCAGCCAUCAUUUAAAGAAAGCGUAAUAGCUCACUGGUCGAGUCGGCCUGCGCGGAAGAUGUAACGGGGCUAAACCAUGCACCGAAGCUGCGGCAGCGACACUAUGUGUUGUUGGGUAGGGGAGCGUUCUGUAAGCCUGCGAAGGUGUGCUGUGAGGCAUGCUGGAGGUAUCAGAAGUGCGAAUGCUGACAUAAGUAACGAUAAAGCGGGUGAAAAGCCCGCUCGCCGGAAGACCAAGGGUUCCUGUCCAACGUUAAUCGGGGCAGGGUGAGUCGACCCCUAAGGCGAGGCCGAAAGGCGUAGUCGAUGGGAAACAGGUUAAUAUUCCUGUACUUGGUGUUACUGCGAAGGGGGGACGGAGAAGGCUAUGUUAGCCGGGCGACGGUUGUCCCGGUUUAAGCAUGUAGGCUGGUUGUCCAGGCAAAUCCGGAUAAUCAAGGCUGAGGUGUGAUGACGAGGCACUACGGUGCUGAAGUAACAAAUGCCCUGCUUCCAGGAAAAGCCUCUAAGCAUCAGGUAACAUCAAAUCGUACCCCAAACCGACACAGGUGGUCAGGUAGAGAAUACCAAGGCGCUUGAGAGAACUCGGGUGAAGGAACUAGGCAAAAUGGUGCCGUAACUUCGGGAGAAGGCACGCUGGUGUGUAGGUGAAGCCCCUGCGGGUGGAGCUGAGACCAGUCGAAGAUACCAGCUGGCUGCAACUGUUUAUUAAAAACACAGCACUGUGCAAACACGAAAGUGGACGUAUACGGUGUGACGCCUGCCCGGUGCCGGAAGGUUAAUUGAUGGGGUUAUCCGUAAGGAGAAGCUCUUGAUCGAAGCCCCGGUAAACGGCGGCCGUAACUAUAACGGUCCUAAGGUAGCGAAAUUCCUUGUCGGGUAAGUUCCGACCUGCACGAAUGGCGUAAUGAUGGCCAGGCUGUCUCCACCCGAGACUCAGUGAAAUUGAACUCGCUGUGAAGAUGCAGUGUACCCGCGGCAAGACGGAAAGACCCCGUGAACCUUUACUAUAGCUUGACACUGAACAUUGAGCCUUGAUGUGUAGGAUAGGUGGGAGGCUUUGAAGCGUGGACGCCAGUCUGCGUGGAGCCAACCUUGAAAUACCACCCUUUAAUGUUUGAUGUUCUAACGUUGGCCCCUGACCGGGGUUGCGGACAGUGUCUGGUGGGUAGUUUGACUGGGGCGGUCUCCUCCCAAAGCGUAACGGAGGAGCACGAAGGUUAGCUAAUCCUGGUCGGACAUCAGGAGGUUAGUGCAAUGGCAUAAGCUAGCUUGACUGCGAGCGUGACGGCGCGAGCAGGUGCGAAAGCAGGUCAUAGUGAUCCGGUGGUUCUGAAUGGAAGGGCCAUCGCUCAACGGAUAAAAGGUACUCCGGGGAUAACAGGCUGAUACCGCCCAAGAGUUCAUAUCGACGGCGGUGUUUGGCACCUCGAUGUCGGCUCAUCACAUCCUGGGGCUGAAGUAGGUCCCAAGGGUAUGGCUGUUCGCCAUUUAAAGUGGUACGCGAGCUGGGUUUAGAACGUCGUGAGACAGUUCGGUCCCUAUCUGCCGUGGGCGCUGGAGAAUUGAGGGGGGCUGCUCCUAGUACGAGAGGACCGGAGUGGACGCAUCACUGGUGUUCGGGUUGUCAUGCCAAUGGCACUGCCCGGUAGCUAAAUGCGGAAGAGAUAAGUGCUGAAAGCAUCUAAGCACGAAACUUGCCCCGAGAUGAGUUCU